UAGCCGUAAACGAUACUCGCUAGGUGACGGCCACGGUGCGACCGUUGUCGGUGCCGUAGGGAAGCCGUGAAGCGAGCCACCUGGGAAGUACGGCCGCAAGGCUGAAACUUAAAGGAAUUGGCGGGGGAGCACCACAACGGGUGGAGCUUGCGGUUUAAUUUGGAUUCAACGCCGGAAAUCUUACCGGGACCGACAGCAACAUGAAGGCCAGGCUGAAGACUUUGCCGGAUUAGCUGAGAGGUGGUGCAUGGCGUAGUCGUGU
rnacentral:rRNA from 1 species